GGCAACUACUGGACUAUGAGAGCACAGUGUCUCAACCAGUGCAGGUUAUAACAAUGUCGGCAACUACUGGACUAUGAGAGCACAGUGUCUCAACCAGUGCAGGUUAUAAUCAAGUCGGCAACUACUGGACUAUGAGAGCACAGUGUCUCAACCAGUGCAGGUUAUAACAAUGUCGGCAACUACUGGACUAUGACAGCAAAGUGUCUCAACCAGUGCAGGUUACAACAAUGUCGGCAACUACUGGACUAUGAGUGUCUAUGAGAGCAAAGUGUCUCAACCAGUGCAGGUUACAACAAUGUCGGCAACUACUGGACUAUGAGUGUCUAUGAGAGCAAAGUGUCUCAACCAGUGCAGGUUACAACAAUGUCGGCAACUACUGGACUAUGAG
rnacentral:sRNA from 1 species